rnacentral:tRNA from 1 species
ACCUUCGUGGUGUAAUGGCCAGCACACUCGACGUGUACUCGAAAGGUCCGUGGUUCGAAUCCCGGCGAUGGCA